UAGUCCACGCAGUAAACGAUGAGCACUAAGUGUCUGAACAUUAGGUUUGGGUGCUAAAGCUAACGCGUUAAGUGCUCCGCCUGGGGAUUACGGUCGCUAGACUAAAACUCAAAGGAAUUGACGGGGACCCGCACAAGCGGUGGAACAUGUGGUUUAAUUCGAUGCUACGCGAAAAACCUUACCAGCUCUUGACAUCCCGAUUUGAGAGGACAGAGAUGACCUCUUUCAGUUCGGCUGGAUCGGAGACAGGUGUUGCAUGGCUGUCGUCAGCUCGUGCCGUGAGGUGUUAGGUUAAGUCCUUUAACGAGCGCAACCCUCAUCCUUAUUUGCCAUCAGGUAAUGCUGGGAACUAUAAGGAAACUGCCAGUGAUAAAUUGGAGGAAGGUGGGGAUGAUGUCAAGUCAUCAUGGCCCUUAUGGGCUGGGCUACACACAUGUUACAAUGGAAGUUACAGCGGGAAGCGAAGGGGUGACCUGGAGCCAAUCCUUAAAAACUUCUCAGUUC
rnacentral:rRNA from 1 species